rnacentral:rRNA from 1 species
AACCCUAGAGAUAGGGCUUCUCCUUCGGGAGCAGAGUGACAGGUGGUGCAUGGUUGUCGUCAGCUCGUGUCGUGAGAUGUUGGGUUAAGUCCCGCAACGAGCGCAACCCUUGAUCUUAGUUGCCAUCAUUUAGUUGGGCACUCUAAGGUGACUGCCGGUGACAAACCGGAGGAAGGUGGGGAUGACGUCAAAUCAUCAUGCCCCUUAUGACCUGGGCUACACACGUGCUACAAUGGACGGUACAAAGAGCUGCAAGACCGCGAGGUGGAGCUAAUCUCAUAAAACCGUUCUCAGUUCGGAUUGUAGGCUGCAACUCGCCUACAUGAAGCUGGAAUCGCUAGUAAUCGCGGAUCAGCAUGCCGCGGUGAAUACGUUCCCGGGCCUUGUACACACCGCCCGUCACACCACGAGAGUUUGUAACACCCGAAGUCGGUGGGGUAACCUUUUUGGAGCCAGCCGCCUAAGGUGGGACAGAUGAUUGGGGUGAAGUCGUAACAAGGUAGCCGUAUCGGAAGGUGCGGCUGGAUCACCUCCUUUCUAUGGA